rnacentral:rRNA from 1 species
CAAAAACGACUCUCGGCAACGGAUAUCUGGGCUCUCGCAUCGAUGAAGAACGUAGCGAAAUGCGAUACUUGGUGUGAAUUGCAGAAUCCCGUGAACCAUCGAGUCUUUGAACGCAAGUUGCGCCCAAAGCCAUUAGGCCGAGGGCACGUCUGCCUGGGCGUCACGC